UACGUAGGCAGCAAGCGUUGUUCGGAAUUACUGGGCGUAAAGAGUGUGUAGGCGGUGCUCCAAGUCUGGUGUGAAAUCUCCCGGCUCAACUGGGAGGGUGCGCUAGAAACUGGAAUGCUAGAGGAUGGGAGAGGUAAGCGGAAUUCCUGGUGUAGCGGUGAAAUGCGUAGACAUCAGGAGGAACACCUGUGGUGUAGACAGCUUACUGGACCAUUUCUGACGCUGAGACACGAAAGCGUGGGUAGCAAACAGG
rnacentral:rRNA from 1 species